rnacentral:rRNA from 1 species
UACGGAGGGGGCGAGCGUUAUUCGGAAUUAUUGGGCGUAAAGGGCGCGUAGGCGGCUGUACAAGUCAAAGGUGAAAUCCCUCGGCUCAACUGAGGAACUGCCUUUGAAACUGUACGGCUUGAGGCCGGGAGGGGGUAGCGGAAUUCCCAGUGUAGCGGUGAAAUGCGUAGAUACUGGGAGGAACACCAGUGGCGAAAGCGAGUCGCUGGACCUCUUCUGACGCUGAGGCGCGAAAGCCAGGGGAGCAAACGGG